AUUGAACGCUGGCGGCAGGCCUAACACAUGCAAGUCGAACGAGUGGCGGACGGGUGAGUAAUGUCUGGGAAACUGACUGAUGGAGGGGGAUAACUACUGGAAACGGUAGCUAAUACCGCAUACCAUCAGAUGUGCCCAGAUGGGAUUAGCUAGUUGGUGGGGUAAAGGCUCACCAAGGCGACGAUCCCUAGAUGGUCUGAGAGGAUGACCAGCCACACUGGAACUGGGACACGGUCCAGAGUCCGACGGGUGGCAGCAGUGGGGAAUAUUUGACAAAGGGGGCAAGCCUGAUGCAGCCAUGCCGCGGGUAUGAAGAAGGCCUUCGGGUUGUAAAGUACUUUCAGCGGGGAGGCGUUACCCGCAGAAGAAGCACCGGCUAACUCCGUGCCAGCAGCCGCGGUAAUUC
rnacentral:rRNA from 1 species